CAGACUGUCCUCCCUUGAGCCCACAGCCUCUCAGGCAAUCCCCCUUGCCAGCUGAGGCCCAUCUGUAAACACUUCCACAUCCUUUCUCUCUUCCCUUUUCUAUCCAUCUAUAUCACUUUGACAGACACCUGCGUGACGACUCAGUCAGGGCUGAUUCCCUUCCCAGUAAACGCUGUCUGUGAGAAUUCAGCUCCAGAGCGGGCCUCAGAGCGACUGCUUUCUUUUUCAGGAUUCAGAUAUCCAAGAAUUUCCGACAUUCCAUUUCGUUCUUCUAAUGGAAGUGACUCUCAAGACACGAGUGUCGUGUAUAUUGUCUAUGAACCUUUGUGGUGUUUGUAGAAGCCAAUAGAUUAUGUUUUAUGUUUCAGGUUUAUGAGUACAAAGAGAAUGGGAAUACAGAUGCGUGUGGAGACAAAGGAGGAAAACUCAGGACGAGAUUCUGGAGAAGCAUUGUAAUUACGUGCUGGGAAGCAAGUUGCUGAAGUCACCCUGGAGAGGAGCAGCAACAGAGAUUUUCAUCACAUUGGGAAAAAAAAUCAGAACUGCUCAUGCAGGCCAGCGAGUGAUCUCAAAUCUUGAGCCCUGGACCACAGAUAAUUUAUUGGCUCCUUGGAAAGAAUACAAGCUAUACUAAAAAUGUGGACUAAAGUGA